AUUGAACGCUGGCGGCAGGCCUAACACAUGCAAGUCGGGCGGAGCGGCGGACGGGUGAGUAAUGUAUGGGGAACUGCCUGAUGGAGGGGGAUACCUACUGGAAAAGGUAGAUAAUACCGCAUACCCUCAGAUGACCCCAUAUGGGAUUAGAUUGUAGGUGAGGUAACGUCUCACCUAGGAGACGAUCCCUAGCUAGUCUGAGAGGAUGAUCAGCCACACUGGGACGGAGACACGGCCCAGACUCCUACGGGAGGCAGCAGUGGGGAAUAUUGCACAAUGGGCGAAAGCCUGAUGCAGCCAUGCCGCGUGUGUGAAGAAGGUCUUCGGAUUGUAAAGCACUUUAAGUUGGGAGGCGUUACCAACAGAAUAAGCACCGGCUAACUUCGUGCCAGCAGCCGCGGUAAUAC
rnacentral:rRNA from 1 species